rnacentral:rRNA from 1 species
AUUGAACGCUGGCGGCAGGCCUAACACAUGCAAGUCGAACGAGUGGCGGACGGGUGAGUAAUGUCUGGGAAACUGCCUGAUGGAGGGGGAUAACUACUGGAAACGGUAGCUAAUACCGCAUACCAUCGGAUGUGCCCCGCUGGGAUUAGCUAGUAGGUGGGGUAAAGGCUCACCUAGGCGACGAUCCCUAGCUGGUCUGAGAGGAUGACCAGCCACGCCGGAACCUAGACACGGUCCAGCCUCCUACGGGAGGCAGCAGUGUGGUAUAUUGCACAAUGGGCGCAAGCCGGAUGCAGCCAUGCCGCGUGUAUUAAGACGGCCUUCGGGUUGUAAAGUACUUUCAGCGGGGAGGCGUUACCCGCAGAAGAAGCACCGGCUAACUCCGUGCCAGCAGCCGCGGUAAUAC